rnacentral:rRNA from 1 species
UACGUAGGUGGCGAGCGUUGUCCGGAUUUACUGGGCGUAAAGGGAGCGUAGGCGGACUUUUAAGUGAGAUGUGAAAUACUCGGGCUCAACUUGAGUGCUGCAUUUCAAACUGGAAGUCUAGAGUGCAGGAGAGGAGAAUGGAAUUCCUAGUGUAGCGGUGAAAUGCAUAGAUAUCACACAGAACACCGAUUGCGAAGGCAUCUCACGAAUCCGCUAUUGACGCUGAUGCACGAAAGCGUGGGUAUCAAACAGG